rnacentral:rRNA from 1 species
GACAGAGGGUGCAAGCGUGGUUCGGAAUUAUUGGGCGUAAAGCGCGCGUAGGCGGCCCGAUAAGUCGAAUGUGAAAUCCCGUGGCUCAACCAUGGAAGUGCAUUCGAAACUGUCGGGCUCGAGUGUCGGAGAGGGUGGUGGAAUUCCCAGUGUAGAGGUGAAAUUCGUAGAUAUUGGGAGGAACACCAGUGGCGAAGGCGACCGCCUGGACGACAACUGACGCUGAGGCGCGAGAGCGUGGGGAGCAAACAGG